CGGACCCGGUGAAAGCCCGGGUGGCUCUUCCGGCCGCCGAUCCGCCGGACAAC
rnacentral:ncRNA from 1 species